rnacentral:rRNA from 1 species
GACGAACGCUGGCGGCGUGCUUAACACAUGCAAGUCGAGCGGUAAGGCCCUUUCGGGGGUACACGAGCGGCGAACGGGUGAGUAACACGUGGGUGACCUGCCCUUAGCUCUGGGAUAAGCCUGGGAAACUGGGUCGUAAUACCGGAUAUGACUCCAUGACGCAUGUUGUGGGGUGGAAAGCCUUGUGCGGCUAGGGAUGGGCCCGCGGCCUAUCAGCUUGUUGGUGGGGUGAUGGCCUACCAAGGCGACGACGGGUAGCCGGCCUGAGAGGGCGACCGGCCACACUGGGACUGAGAUACGGCCCAGACUCCUACGGGAGG